rnacentral:rRNA from 1 species
AUCUCGGCUCUCGCAUCGAUGAAGAACGUAGCGAAAUGCGAUACUUGGUGUGAAUUGCAGAAUCCCGUGAACCAUCGAGUCUUUGAACGCAAGUUGCGCCCGAAGCCAUCAGGCCGAGGGCACGUCUGCCUGGGCGUCACGCAUCGCGUCGCCCCCGCACA